rnacentral:rRNA from 1 species
GGACCCUCGGGCCUCUUGCCAUCGGAUGUGCCCAGAUGGGAUUAGCUUGUUGGUGGGGUAACGGCUCACCAAGGCGACGAUCCCUAGCUGGUCUGAGAGGAUGACCAGCCACACUGGAACUGAGACACGGUCCAGACUCCUACGGGAGGCAGCAGUGGGGAAUAUUGCACAAUGGGCGCAAGCCUGAUGCAGCCAUGCCGCGUGUAUGAAGAAGGCCUUCGGGUUGUAAAGUACUUUCAGCGGGGAGGAAGGGAGUAAAGUUAAUACCUUUGCUCAUUGACGUUACCCGCAGAAGAAGCACCGGCUAACUCCGUGCCAGCAGCCGCGGUAGUACGGAGGGUGCAAGCGUUAAUCGGAAUUACUGGGCGUAAAGCGCACGCAGGCGGUUUGUUAAGUCAGAUGUGAAAUCCCCGGGCUCAACCUGGGAACUGCAUCUGAUACUGGCAAGCUUGAGUCUCGUAGAGGGGGGUAGAAUUCCAGGUGUAGCGGUGAAAUGCGUAGAGAUCUGGNAGGAAUACCGGUGGCGAAGGCGGCCCCCUGGACGAAGACUGACGCUCAGGUGCGAAAGCGUGGGGAGCAAACAGGAUUAGAUACCCUGGUAGUCCACGCCGUAAACGAUGUCGACUUGGAGGUUGUGCCCUUGAGGCGUGGCUUCCGGAGCUAACGCGUUAAGUCGACCGCCUGGGAAGUACGGCCGCAAGGUUAAAACUNCAAAUGAAUUGACGGGGGCCCGCACAAGCGGUGGAGCAUGUGGUUUAAUUCGAUGCAACGCGAAGAACCUUACCUGGUCUUGACAUCCACGGAAGUUUUCAGAGAUGAGAAUGUGCCUUCGGGAACCGUGAGACAGGUGCUGCAUGGCUGUCGUCAGCUCGUGUUGUGAAAUGUUGGGUUAAGUCCCGCAACGAGCGCAACCCUUAUCCUUUGUUGCCAGCGGUCCGGCCGGGAACUCGAAGGAGACUGCCAGUGAUAAACUGGAGGAAGGUGGGGAUGACGUCAAGUCAUCAUGGCCCUUACGACCAGGGCUACACACGUGCUACAAUGGCGCAUACAAAGAGAAGCGACCUCGCGAGAGCAAGCGGACCUCAUAAAGUGCGUCGUAGUCCGGAUUGGAGUCUGCAACUCGACUCCAUGAAGUCUGAAUCGCUAGUAAUCGUGGAUCAGAAUGCCACGGUGAAUACGUUCCCGG